rnacentral:rRNA from 1 species
UACACUCCUGCGGGAGGCAGCAGUGGGGAAUAUUGGACAAUGGGCGCAAGCCUGAUCCAGCCAUGCCGCGUGAGUGAUGAAGGCCCUAGGGUUGUAAAGCUCUUUCACCGGUGAAGAUAAUGACGGUAACCGGAGAAGAAGCCCCGGCUAACUUCGUGCCAGCAGCAGCGGUAAUACGAAGGGGGCUAGCGUUGUUCGGAUUUACUGGGCGUAAAGCGCACGUAGGCGGACUAUUAAGUCAGGGGUGAAAUCCCGGGGCUCAACCCCGGAACUGCCUUUGAUACUGGUAGUCUUGAGUUCGAGAGAGGUGAGUGGAAUUCCGAGUGUAGAGGUGAAAUUCGUAGAUAUUCGGAGGAACACCAGUGGCGAAGGCGGCUCACUGGCUCGAUACUGACGCUGAGGUGCGAAAGCGUGGGGAGCAAACAGGAUUAGAAACCCCAGUAGUCCCAUG